GGACUACUCGGGUAUCUAAUCCUGUUUGCUCCCCUUGCUCUCGCGCCUCAGCGUCAGGCAUUAACUAGAAAACCGCUUUCGCCACCGAUGUUCUUCCACAUAUCUACGCAUUUCACCGCUACACGUGGAAUUCCGUUUUCUCCGUCAACCCUCUAGAAUGAUAGUUUCAAAUGCAGCUCCGAAGUUGAGCUUCGGAAUUUCACAUCUGACUUAUCUUUCCGCCUACGCGCCCUUUACGCCCAAUAAUUCCGAUUAAUGCUUGCACUCUCCGUAUUACCGCGGCUGCUGGCAC
rnacentral:rRNA from 1 species